rnacentral:rRNA from 1 species
CCUACGGGUGGCAGCAGUGGGGGAUAUUGCACAAUGGGGGAAACCCUGAUGCAGCGACGCCGCGUGUGGGAAGACGGUCUUCUGGAUUGUAAACCACUGUACCCAGGGACGAAAAUGACGGUACCUGGGGAGGAAGCUCCGGCUAACUACGUGCCAGCAGCCGCGGUAAUACGUAGGGAGCAAGCGUUGUCCGGAAUUCCUGGGUGUAAAGGGAGCGUAGGCGGGGAUGCAAGUUGGGGGUCAAAACUACCGGCUCAACCGAUAGUCGCACUCAAAACUGCAGCUCUUGAGUGAAGUAGAGGCAGGCGGAAUUCCUAGUGUAGCGGUGAAAUGCGUAGAUAUUAGGAGGAACACCAGUGGCGAAGGCGGCCUGCUGGGCUGUUACUGACGCUGAGGCUCGAAAGUGUGGGGAGCAAACAGGAUUAGAUACCCCUGUAGUC